rnacentral:lncRNA from 1 species
UUUACUAAUCUCAAGAAAUUUGAUAAGAUUUUGACUCAAAAUUAUCAAGAAUGUAUAUUAUCAUGUUAUUAAGUUAUAUACAAAAAAAUAUAUAUUUUAAUUUUGGAUUUUUGAAAUAUAAAGAAAAUAAUACUUACAUUCUUAAAAAAAAAGGUUUAAAAAACAUGCUAAGAUUUCUAAGAUACUAGACAAUUGGUAAUAAA